ensembl:lncRNA novel transcript
GGCGGCCCCGCCCCGCAGCGUUUGAGGCGCCGCAAGCCUUCACGCCCCUCGGGCCUUGCAGAUCCCUCUCCCAGUUUCCGCGGCGGUCCGGUGCGGUCAGUACCUGUCUAAAAUCAAUAUUGCCGAGGCCUCCGCAGCAGUCAGGCCCUGCCACCGAGCUGUUCGUUACCUCGGCUCCCGGGUUCCCAGAUCUCUUCAUCCGGGGGCCGCCUCAGGAGGCACCACGCGGGCCCCGCUGCAGCCACGCGCCCCCGGAACCGGACCUAUAGAGCCGGAGAUGGGAGUCUCGCUAUGAUGCCCAGGCUGGUCUCGAACUCCCGAGCUCAAGUGAUCUGACCUCCCAAAGUGCUGGAAUUACAGGCAUGAGCCACCGCGCCCUGUCUUCCUUUGUUUGUGUUGAUUACGAAUACAUUCACUUGCAAAAA